GGGGCUCUAGCUCAGUGGUAGAGCACAUGCUUAGCAUGCACAAGGUCCUGGGUUCAAUCCUCAGUACCCCCA
rnacentral:tRNA from 1 species